ensembl:lncRNA
UGGAGGUGAGGGUCUCUUGUUGCAUCCCUGUGUGUCUGAGGCCUUUUGAAGGGGCAAUGGAGAAAUGACAUAUUCAAUGGACAGGGCACUAUAAUUCAUUGUUCCUGUGACAUCUGUGAUAGACUGUGGAUCAAUGGGUGCACUGCUGCUUUGAGAAAAGGGACCAAGACCAGCAAGUGAAACCUGCUCUGUUGAUGCGUGCUCUAAGAAAUGGAGGGGAGGGAGAAGAAAGCUGAAGAUUGGCUGCUCUGUGUUUUGCUUAGAAGAAAAGCCAAGCUUACACAUAUGGAAGAUUGCCAGAUACUCUAAACCCUAUUUUGGUUAAAUUACAGUACCCAUAUUUUGAUAACAAAGCACAUUGAUUUCAUAUUCAAAAAGAUUUUUAUAUUUAGUCUGUUAACCUUUUGUAAUUCCCACCCACAGCUUUAAACUGUAGAACAUUUUUAUGCUAAUUGUUGUCAGUAGGGUAUCUGCCGUGGCCCCUUGGCAAUUUAAAUCCAUUGAAUUGUAAUGCAGGUGCUGAUAAUUGGAGAACUGUUAUUGUUUGGCUGCAGAAUGUGCGUCUCAACUCUUUGCAAAUUGGAUUUAAGAACUCUUAAAAAUCCCAUAUUUGAAGACAAACUUGCUUUGUUUUAAUUAAUAAUAAAAGGAAG